rnacentral:rRNA from 1 species
UACGAAGGGGGCUAGCGUUGCUCGGAAUCACUGGGCGUAAAGGGUGCGUAGGCGGGUCUUUAAGUCAGGGGUGAAAUCCUGGAGCUCAACUCCAGAACUGCCUUUGAUACUGAAGAUCUUGAGUUCGGGAGAGGUGAGUGGAACUGCGAGUGUAGAGGUGAAAUUCGUAGAUAUUCGCAAGAACACCAGUGGCGAAGGCGGAGCUCACUGGCCC